AAUUCCGGGGCUUAACUCCGGGCGUGCAGGCGAUACGGGCAUAACUUGAGUGCUGUAGGGGAGACUGGAAUUCCUGGUGUAGCGGUGAAAUGCGCAGAUAUCAGGAGGAACACCGAUGGCGAAGGCAGGUCUCUGGGCAGUUACUGACGCUGAGGAGCGAAAGCAUGGGUAGCGAACAGGAUUAGAUACCCUGGUAGUCCAUGCCGUAAACGGUGGGCGCUAGGUGUGGGGGUCUUCCACGACUUCUGUGCCGUAGCUAACGCAUUAAGCGCCCCGCCUGGGGAGUACGGCCGCAAGGCUAAAACUCAAAGGAAUUGACGGGGGCCCGCACAAGCGGCGGAGCAUGUGGAUUAAUUCGAUGCAACGCGAAGAACCUUACCUGGGCUUGACAUAUGCAGGAUUGGCACAGAGAUGUGUUGUCCCUUGUGGUCUGUAUACAGGUGGUGCAUGGUUGUCGUCAGCUCGUGUCGUGAGAUGUUGGGUUAAGUCCCGCAACGAGCGCAACCCUUGUCUUGUGUUGCCAGCACGUUAUGGUGGGGACUCGCGAGAGACUGCCGGGGUUAACUCGGAGGAAGGUGGGGAUGACGUCAAAUCAUCAUGCCCCUUAUGUCCAGGGCUUCACACAUGCUACAAUGGUCGGUACAGUGGGUUGCGAUGCCGUGAGGUGGAGCUAAUCCCUUAAAGCCGGUCUCAGUUCGGAUUGGAGUCUGCAACUCGACUCCAUGAAGUCGGAGUCGCUAGUAAUCGCAGAUCAGCAAUGCUGCGGUGAAUACGUUCCCGGGCCUUGUACACACCGCCCGUCACGUCAUGAAAG
rnacentral:rRNA from 1 species